rfam:Weissella koreensis KACC 15510, complete genome.
UGAAUUAAAUAGAUUCUACCUAAGACGCCGGAGGCCUUUUGGCCUUAAUAUAUCCUGCCGAGGAAGUGAAAAUGAGCGAAAGCAAAUUGGAACCCCCGGCACUAUGGUGUUGGGGGUUUCUUAGUUAGGAU